ensembl:piRNA 21ur-10900 ncRNA
UUUCACCGUUUAAGCAGUAAC